GGAGUAGCCAAUUAACCUAAUGUGCAUGUACCGUGGGAGGAAGCCAGAGUACCCAGAGAAAACCCACGCAGGCACAGGGAGAACAUGCAAACUCCGCACAGAACUCGGCCCAGAAUGGGAUAUGCUGACAGUUUGUAUUAUACUGCACCCGAGCCAGAGAUGAAAGUUAACACAUGGUACUACAAAAUGUCACUCGGAGCUUUCACGUGACGUGUGACUGUCUUUGCUGUCAGCAAACACUCAUGCGAACACUGAAAUCAUCAUCUGUUGCUGGGAUUGUAGGAGGUUCCCAGCAACAGCCAAAAGAAAAUUGGGAAUGCAGACUUUGUCAACCUUCUGGUUGUUCCAAAGUUGAGGUUAAAAACUAAAGGUGACUGGGCCCUCAGCUUUGGAACGAUCUUCCUGAGGAGCUAAGGCUUACAAG